UGAGGUUUUUUUGUGGACAAACUCCUCCUAAUCUCUUCAUAGGUUGACAGAGCCAGGGGCUGGGAUGAUCAGUGGUUGUGCGAUCCCAUGAUUCCCCUACAGAACAGUGAGGACACCAAGAACUAAUUGAUACAACACGUUCAUUGCACCCACACUGGACUUUGGUCUGCAGAAGCCCAGCACAGCUGUGCUGAAUCUCUGAGAUUUGCCAUCAGCCUUUGAGACCCUUGAUGCUAAGGUUUUGUGGCCCUGUUUCCAUGAUGGGGUGGAGGGAACUUCCUUGAAUGGCUUCAUUCUUUCCUUCCAGAGGGAUGCCAGAGAGUUAUGGACCGCACGCUGUCAAGAGGCUGCUAAACAACUAUAAAAAGAACUCUAAGGCCCUGAUCCUUUCAUCUCAGAUCUGCUUAAGUUGCAUCAGGGGAAGUUUGAGACACAAGACUGAGGUCUCCAGUCUCAUCUGGAUCACCCUGCUAUUGGACUGUAGCGAUGCGAUGACUCAUCGGCGUGGCGCCUCCUGCUGGUCAUCUUGGGAAUUAGCUCCCCAGCAUAUGAAGCACCUCCUCCUGGCCGGUGUCUUGCCUGCCGCUGGCCCGUGUCCCUCCCAGACCCCGGGGCCCCUUU